GGGGCUUGAUCCCACACCCCUGGGAUCAUGACCUGAGCUGAAAUCAAGCUUCAGAUGCUCAACCGAGUGAGACACUCACGCACCCCUGUGAUGGUCAAUUUUGUGUGCCAACUUGGUUAAGCCAUGGUGCCCAGAUUUUUGGAUCCAACACCAGUCUAGAUGUUGCCAUGAAAGUAUUUUUCAGGUGUGAUUAACAAGUAGAUCUGUAGGCUUUGAGUAAUGCAGAUUAUCCCCCACCGUGCCGGUAGGCCUCACCCAAUCAGUUGAAGAGACUGAAGAGAAGAGACUGACCACGGCCGCAGAAGAAAGAAGUCUACCUCCAGCCUGCUGCAGAUGUUGGGGUUGCCAAUGCCUCCAUAAUCAUGUGAGCCAAUUCCUUAAAAUACACCUCUCUCUUUCUGUGCACACACACACAAACACCACACCCUAUUUGUUCUGUUUCUCUGCAGAAUUUUGAUGAAUAAAUAGACCAGAUAAAUAGGCAAAAUAAAUUAUACAGUACAGCAGAUAGUGAUGAAUGCAAUGGAGAAAACCCAUAGCCUUCUAUUUUCUCCAUCACUGCGAUCAUCUGUAACUGUCUCGCUUGGUUUGCACGCAGCUGAGACUUUGCCAGCAGCACCUAGGCACGGCCUUCCAUGGGACCUGGGUGUCUCUUAGGGUGUCUGAUAGGAUGGGUUCAUAAAGGGAGUUUUCGAGGGCUGUGUUUGGACAGUGAGGCUUCAGAGAGAGCCAGGCAGAAGUGGCUUGGCCUGUUAUGACCUAAUUUCAAAAGCCACAGCGUAUCACCUCUGUCGUACUCCAGUGGUGGCAACCAUCUUGGACUCAGAUUCAAGAGGAGAGAGCACAGAUCUCUCAAUCAGAGAAGAUUUUAAAAAAUUGAUGAAAAAAAUAUGUGGCGUAUACACUAGAAUAUUAUUCAGCCAUAAAAAAGAAGGAAAUUCUGCCAUUUGGGGACAACAUGAUGGACCGGAUGAGCACUAUGCUAAGUGAAAUAAGUCAUACGGAGAAAGAAAAUGCUGUAUCUCACUUAUUGUGGAAUCAGAAAAAAAUCCAAAAGCGUUGAAACAUAGAGUACAUCGGUGGUUCCAGGGGUUGAGGGUUGGGAGAAGUGCGUGGUGAUGGUCAAAGCAUGCAAACUUCCAGUUAUAAGAGAACAAGUUCUGGGGACCUAAUGCACAGCGUGGUGACUCUAAUUAACAAUACUGUAUUGUAUACUUGAAAUUUGCUAAAAGAAUCCAUCUGAAGUGUCCUUGCCCCGCUUCCCCCCCACCCAGAGUAACUGUGUGAAAUAAUAGAUGCGCUAACUAGCCUUAUUGUGUUAAUUAUUUCACUAUUAUAUAUAUACCAAAUCACCACGUUGUACUUUAAACUUGCACAAAGGUCUAUUUCCAGUGUGUUUCAACAACACUGGAAAAAAAAUUUCAGGUGAUAAUGUUCACACUAUCUCACAUGCUCGGCACCUAACGUGGUUCCUAGUGCAUAGAAGAUACUCAAGAAAUGUUUGUUGAUUGCAUGCACAGAAAAGCCUAAGGCAAACAAAAUAAAUGUUACUUAUUCUACUCCCUAGAGAUAAUUGCUAUUAAAAUAUUUUCUCA